rnacentral:rRNA from 1 species
AAAGGUAAUACUUUUAGGAAACCUUUAUCCUUUGGCGGCCUUUUUUCUUUUCAGAGGAAUUCGUCUAUUAAUCGAAAUUACCCGCUUAUUUUCUCUUUUCCUUAAUCAUUUAUACCGCCGUCUAAAUAAUACACUAAAAAUUCUAUUUGCAAUAAUAUUUAUCAAGUCAGGUCAAGGUGAAGACAUGAAAAAGAUUAGAUAAAUUACUAAUUAACGUUAUCAAUGAACUAAUAUCUAAAGUGACAAAUGAAACAGGAUUUGAAAGUAGGGAGAACGAAAAAUAAAAAUUUCACCCGAACCAGCGUUUAGGUGUACACAUCGCCCGUCGCUCUUA